rnacentral:rRNA from 1 species
UGGGGAAUAUUGCACAAUGGGCGAAAGCCUGAUGCAGCAACGCCGCGUGAGUGAUGAAGGCCUUCGGGUUGUAAAGCUCUGUCUUUUGGGACGAUAAUGACGGUACCAAAGGAGGAAGCCACGGCUAACUACGUGCCAGCAGCCGCGGUAAUACGUAGGUGGCAAGCGUUGUCCGGAUUUACUGGGCGUAAAGGAUGCGUAGGCGGAUUUUUAAGUGAGAUGUGAAAUACCCGGGCUUAACUUGGGUGCUGCAUUUCAAACUGGGAAUCUAGAGUGCGGGAGAGGAGAAUGGAAUUCCUAGUGUAGCGGUGAAAGUGCGUAGAGAUUAGGAAGAACACCAGUGGCGAAGGCGAUUCUCUGGACCGUAACUGACGCUGAGGCAUGAAAGCGUGGGUAGCAAACAGGAUUAGAUACCCUGGUAGUCCACGCCGUAAACGAUGAGUACUAGGUGUAGGAGGUAUCGACCCCUUCUGUGCCGCAGUUAACACAAUCAAGUACUCCGCCUGGGAAGUACGAUCGCAAGAUU